GCGCCGCGCAGGCGCCGGGCAGGCCGGACGCACGCUAGGGUGUUCUUGUCCCGGCCAGGUAGCGCGGGGGCGGCCCUGGGGCGGGGAGACAGGGGGCGGCUCCCCUCCGGCGCUCUGCGGAGGACAGCAGCGAUCGCCAAGGCUCAGUGAGUGCCCCGCACUAGCGCAGCACCUGGCACUUGGCGGGGCCGAACCAACGAAUGAGCGAAUUUGCCGAGAGUCGCCCGGUCUGAAUCCAUUGACUCUUUCCUUGCCUCGGUCCUGUCCUCAUUCCUCGACUCACUCCCUCCUGCCCUUCCUCACUAUCUCCCUCCCCGCUCAUAUCCUCCCUCCCCUUUCCUCAUUCCCUUCUUCACUCUCUUCUCUCCUCUCUUCCUCUCUUACUCCCCCCUCUCAUUCUCUCCCUCCCUCCUUCACUCUCUCAUUCCCUCCCUUCCUAUCUUACCCCCCAUUCCCUUCCUCCCUCACUCAUUCACUCCCUCCCUCUCUCCCCCUCUCAUCCCCUCCCUCUCUCAUUCCUUUUCCCUCCCUCCUUCACUCUCGUUCUCCCCUCCCUCUCUCAUUCCUUACCUCCCUGUCUCACUUCCCCCCUUCUUUCCCUCCCUCCCUCUCCCCUUCUCCCAUUCCCUCCCUCCCUCUUUGAUUCCCUUCUUUCCUCCUCUCCUCCUUCACUUGUUCCCUUCGUCACGCGCUCAUUCCCUCCCUCCCUGCCUCUUCCCCGCUCCCUCCGCGGUCGGUGCCGCUGACCGUAGCGCGCCCCCUGCGGGAUCUCGGGGAGAAUCGCCGAACACCGCCAGAGUGAACAGGUGCUAGUUUGUGUGCGCGUUCCUUUACUGAGAUUUUGCAGUAAAUCUAAUUCCCAGUCUUAAAGCCUGGUCCCAGAGGUCCGUGCGCGGGUCUUGGCAUUCAUUUUUCUCCACCUCACCUUCGAGCAGGUCCCAUCCUCCGAGGCGUAUCUGUAAUGGCUACACCCAGAGCUUGGAGCCACAGAGCCUCCUGAUGGAAUAAGCUCUAUGAUCAGAAGAUGGCAUAAUUGGGGCUGGGCACAGUGGCUCAGUGCCCAGCUGGGAUUACGCCUGUAAUCCCAGCACUUUGGGAGGCCGAGGCAAGUGGAUUACGAGGUCAGGAGUUCAAGACCAGCCUGGCCAACAUGGUGAAACCCCAUCUCUACUAAAAAUACAAAAAAUUAGCCGGGCGCGGUGGCAGUCGCCUGUAAUCCCAGCUGCUCGGGAGGCUGAGGCGGGAGAAUAGCUUGAACUCAGAGGGCGGAGGUUGCAGUGACCCGAGGUCAUGCCACUGCACUCCAGCCUGGGCGACAGAGUGAGACUCUGUCUCUAAAAACAAAAAAGAAGAUGGCGUAAUCGGAAGUUGAUAUUCUAUCUACUGGAUCCUGCUUCUCCCCUGGGGUCUUCUCGGUCCCCUGAAGCCCCUCUUCCGGAGUCCCUGCCCUCUAUCAGCUCUGCCUCCUGCUUCCUUUCUGUAUUGCCAUGAUUUUUGCUAAGGAUAAAGGACAACUUUAUUGGCUUC